rnacentral:rRNA from 1 species
GACGAACCGUGCGAACGUUAUUCGGAAUCACUGGGCUUAAAGGGCGCGUAGGCGGGUCGGCAAGUCAGGGGUGAAAGCCCGCGGCUCAACCGCGGAAGUGCCUUUGAUACUGCCGGCCUGGAGGGAGGCAGGGGAGCGCGGAACUUCCGGUGGAGCGGUGAAAUGCGUAGAUAUCGGAAGGAACACCGGUGGCGAAAGCGGCGCUCUGGUCCUCUUCUGACGCUGAGGCGCGAAAGCCAGGGGAGCAAACGGG